CCUACGGGAGGCUGCAGUGAGGAAUAUUGCACAAUGGACGCAAGUCUGAUGCAGCAACGCCGCGUGGAGGAUGAAGGUCUUUGGAUUGUAAACUCCUUUUCUCAGGGAAGAGAAUGGACGGUACCUGAGGAAUAAGUCACGGCUAACUACGUGCCAGCAGCCGCGGUAAUACGUAGGUGGCAAGCGUUAUCCGGAAUUACUGGGCGUAAAGCGCACGCAGGCGGUCUUUUAAGUUUGACGUGAAAGCUCCCGGCUUAACUGGGAGAGGUCGUUGAAGACUGGAAGACUUGAGGCAAUGAGAGGGGUGUAGAAUUCCCGGUGUAGUGGUGGAAUGCGUAGAUAUCGGGGGGAAUACCAGUGGCGAAAGCGGCACCCUAGCGUUGUUCUGACGCUCAUGUGCGAAAGCGUGGGGAGCGAACGGGAUUAGAUACCCCAGUAGUC
rnacentral:rRNA from 1 species